rnacentral:rRNA from 1 species
CCUACGGGAGGCAGCAGUGGGGAAUAUUGCACAAUGGGGGGAACCCUGAUGCAGCGACGCCGCGUGAGUGAAGAAGUAUUUCGGUAUGUAAAGCUCUAUCAGCAGGGAAGAAAAUGACGGUACCUGACUAAGAAGCCCCGGCUAACUACGUGCCAGCAGCCGCGGUAAUACGUAGGGGGCAAGCGUUAUCCGGAUUUACUGGGUGUAAAGGGAGCGCAGACGGCUGUGCAAGUCUGGAGUGAAAGGCGGGGGCCCAACCCCCGGACUGCUCUGGAAACUGCCAGGCUGGAGUGCCGGAGAGGCAGGCGGAAUGCCUAGUGUAGCGGUGAAAUGCGUAGAUAUUAGGAGGAACACCAGUGGCGAAGGCGGCCUGCUGGACGGUGACUGACGCUGAGGCUCGAAAGCGUGGGGAGCAAACAGGAUUAGAUACCCCUGUAGUC